rnacentral:rRNA from 1 species
GGACGAUAAUGACGGUACUUUAGGAGGAAGCUCCGGCUAACUACGUGCCAGCAGCCGCGGUAAUACGUAGGGAGCGAGCGUUGUCCGGAAUUACUGGGUGUAAAGGGAGCGUAGGCGGGACUGCAAGUCAGAUGUGAAAUGCCGGGGCUUAACCCCGGAGCUGCAUUUGAAACUGUGGUUCUUGAGUGAAGUAGAGGCAAGCGGAAUUCCUGGUGUAGCGGUGAAAUGCGUAGAUAUCAGGAGGAACACCGGUGGCGAAGGCGGCUUGCUGGGCUUUUACUGACGCUGAGGCUCGAAAGCGUGGGCAGCAAACAGGAUUAGAUACCCUGGUAGUCCACGCUGUAAACGAUGAUUACUAGGUGUGGGGGGACUGACCCCUUCCGUGCCGCAGUUAACACAAUAAGUAAUCCACCUGGGGAGUACGGCCGCAAGGUUGAAACUCAAAGGAAUUGACGGGGGCCCGCACAAGCAGUGGAGUAUGUGGUUUAAUUCGAAGCAACGCGAAGAACCUUACCAGGUCUUGACAUCGUAUGCAUAGCAUAGAGAUAUGUGAAAUCUCUUCGGAGACAUAUAGACAGGUGGUGCAUGGUUGUCGUCAGCUCGUGUCGUGAGAUGUUGGGUUAAGUCCCGCAACGAGCGCAACCCUUACCUUUAGUUGCUACGCAAGAGCACUCUAAAGGGACUGCCGUUGACAAAACGGAGGAAGGUGGGGAUGACGUCAAAUCAUCAUGCCCCUUAUGACCUGGGCUACACACGUACUACAAUGGCAACCAACAAAGAGAAGCAAGACAGUGAUGUGGAGCGAAUCUCAAAAAAUUGUCCCAGUUCAAAUUGC